UCCAUUUAUUGCUUCUUUUAGAAACUUCAAAGCCAGUGGUUGUGUUUGGUCUAAUGGAGUUUCGUCUUGCAAAUCGAAUUCUUCUGAUAAUGCUUGGUUAUCUGAACAACUUGAUUCUACAAACCAGAAGAAACUAAGAUGGGUGCAGAAGAAUUAUAUGAUUUAUAAUUAUUGCAAUGAUGUUAAACGAUUUCCUCAAGGUCUACCUGUGGAAUGCACUGUUCGUACCAAGUCAUAA